rnacentral:rRNA from 1 species
UACGUAGGGUGCAGGCGUUAAUCGGAAUUACUGGGCGUAAAGCGUGCGCAGGCGGUUUCUUAAGUCAGAUGUGAAAGCCCCGGGCUUAACCUGGGAACUGCGUUUGAAACUGGGAGACUUGAGUGUGGCAGAGGAAGGUGGAAUUCCCGGUGUAGUGGUGGAAUGCGUAGAUAUCGGGAGGAACACCAGUGGCGAAGGCGGUUGCCUGGGGCUUUGCUGACGCUGAUGCGCGAAAGCGUGGGGAGCGAUCCGG